AUUUAAAUAGUUUAAUAAAAAUAUCAGUUUGUGGAGCUGAAGAUACAUUUAUGUUUUAAAUU
rnacentral:tRNA from 1 species